AAAAGAAGAUGAUACGGGUGGACUUUAUAAGGCUCAAGUUGGAAAUGAUUCUACCCAUCAAGUGGCCCAAUUUGAAGCGUUAGUUAAUAUUAUGGUUUGCAGAUCUGAUAAAAGUUGUCAUAGUCUUUACCAGUCCAAUUUAUAUGUGCAAGAUGUGCUUUCAUAGAGAAAGGAAAUUCAUGGAUGCUGUUUCUGAUGUAAUAACCACCCUAGAUAUACAAAAUCCGAGCCAAGUAAAAUAAUCAAAAUAAUUCUAUUUGAUUUAGCUUGAUAUUAAAACAAAUAAACUUUUCCAUUUAGAUCAAAUUCAGUGUCAGUAUAAUGCUAUAACCCGAACUAAAAAAAAUCAAUCGAACACACUAGUUUGAUUUGAAAUAUUUUAAAGCUUUACAAAUUCAAUUUGGUUCAGUUUUGAAAAAAUUUAAAUUCAAUUUGAUUCCAUUCAAACCGAAUAUACAUCCUCUAAUAUAGACCGACUGGCCAUCAUUGGUUUCACACAUCAAAGUUUCACCUAAGAGCACAACAGAACAUUUAAAGGUCCAUUCACUUCCAAACUCGGAUUUUUAUAUUUAUUAAUUAUUACCAAGUGCUGCAGAAUCAAAUCCUUAAUGAAGAACAUCUACAAUGGAAUCACUAUAUGAAAUGAUUCUUAAAUAAAUAAAACCAUGACAAGCAGUACAGUCCCAGAAUAUCUGGUUUCUUAGAUAUACAAGAGUCGAACUAACAAACCAAACUAAAUCAAACAGUAA